rnacentral:lncRNA from 1 species
AUGAUCUCAGGAGAUGUGUAUGGGUUCAGCUUGACAAGGGGUGGACUUACCAUGGUUAAUACUGAGUGUCAACUUGAUUGGAUUAAAGAUGCAAAGUAUUGAUCCUGGGUGUGUCUGUGAGGGUGUUGCCAAAGAAGAUUAACAUUUGGGUCAGCGGGCUGGAGAAGGCAGACCCACCCUUAAUCUGGUGGGCACCAUCUAAUCAGCUGCCAGCGAAUAUACAGCAGGAAGAAAAAGGUGAAAAGGCAAGACUGGCCUAGCCUCCCAGCCUACAUCUUUCUCCCAUGCUGGAUGCUUCCUGCCCUUGAACAUCAGACUCCAAGUUCUUCAGUUUUGAGACUUGGACUGGCUCUCCUUGCUCCUCAAGCUUGCAGACAGCCUAUUGUGGGACCUUGUGAUCAUGUUUUAGCACCUCUUACGAAUGAGUGUCUGAGCAGCCAAAAAAUAAAUAAUGAAUCAUCCAGGCAAAGGGGAAGAAAAAUGGACUUGGCCAGAGAUGGGGAAGAACGUACGCAAAAAGAUGAGGUCGUUCAGAUUGGAAGUUGGAUUGGAGGGCGGACCAAAGGAGAAGCUGCUGAAGUAGAUGUUAAAGAUGGAGAGAAGUGGACGGCAGAGACAUAGAGGAGGAAAAGUCAGCAAGACCCGAGAUGUGUAUGGAGAGUUAGAGUGUGGGAAGUGUGACAUGUAACUGAAUCGGAUGAUGGCAACUUUCACUGGGCAGUGAAAGGUCAGGUUGGUGGUAAAAGUCAUGAGUUGACUUUGGGGCAUCUUGAUAUAGUCACUUCCAAUAUCAUGUGUUUCAACAAGCCCGUGUUCCUUCCUGGUCAGUUCCCCCAGCUAGAGUGUGUUUUACAUCCCGCAGCAUUGUAUGAGAACUGCUAGAAUAUCACUCACCACUUCCCAUAGAGAUUCUGUUUGUUCAUCUGCUUGUCCCACUGUGUGCCUUACACAUAGUAGGUGCUCUUGGAAUGUGUGUGAGAUGGAUUAACAUGAGAAGUGCUUCUCUGCAUGAUUUCACCAUUGAAGUGUUGAAAGCAACUAGCACUCCUCCUUCCUGACCUCCAGGCUUCCACCCAGCUGUGGGGACUGCUGUGGUGGAAGGGCCUAGUCUGAAUCUGGACAGGGGAGGUGCCUGCAAAUAUUUUCGUGCCUGCAAAUAUUUUUGUGCCUCGGGACAGAUGGAUGUCCAGUUUACUGUCUGCUUCCUCAGUGGUUCUAGAGGUAAUUGCAUCCUGCUGUGUACAGUUAGGUCGUGGAGGAGACAGGCACCUUCUCUCGUCUUUCUGGAAGGUAACCAGAGGUCUUUCCCCUUUCCUAUCAUGGCAGCUGCUCAGUCGCAGGCUCCAGAUGUCUGCUUCAGAAUUCAAGAACACCUUCCUGAGCUGGGAAACAGAUCCAAGGAAAUAUCAGCCAGAGGCUUCAUUUUAUCAUCUGUGGAAAUGCAAGAUGUUAGAGCACCUAGGAGGGUCUUAACGUGCAAAACACUGUCUUGAGGCUGCCUGCAGAACAGAGGGUCAUCUGCUUUCAUUAGAUUCUCAAGGGAGCCUCAACAGGCUACACCUGAACCCCAGGUUUGGGGCAUCUCUCCAGCCCUCCCAGCUCUGACAUCAUCAUCACCAUUAACAGCUGAAAUGUGUGAGGUGGUUGGGAUGUACCAACAACCCUCCCAAGAGUCCCAUAUCUACCUGACCUCAUUUGACCUUCACAGCAACCCAGUGACUCAGCUGCUAUUUGGCCCACGUUUUACAAACCUGAGUCAGUGUGCUUUACCUCAGUGACCCAAGAACCCAGGUGCUAGAGUCAGGCCUGCAUCCAAAUCAGGGGUGGGAUCAGUGGUGUGCCCUGAACAAAUCAUUAUCCUCUUUUUUGUUUUAUUUUUUGGAGACAGAGUCUCACUCUGUCACCCAGGCUGGAGUGCAGUGGUACAGUCUCAGCUCACAGCAACCACUCUCUCCUGGGUUCAAGUGAUUCUCCUGUCUCAGCCUCCCAAGUAGCUGGGGACUACAGGUGCGUGCCACCACGCUCAGCUAAUUUUUGUGUUUUAGUAGAGACAGGGUUUCACCAUGUUGCCUAGGCUGGUCUCGAACUCCUGAGCUCAGGUGAUCCACCUGCCCCGGCCUCCCAAAGCACUAGGAUUACAGGCGUGAGCACCCCACCCAGCUCAUUACCCUCUUUUAACUUCAAUUUUCUCAUCCACAAAAUGAGGGCAAUAAUCUCCUUUCUUCCCCACUAGCCAUGUUCAUGAAAGUACUUAUUUGCCCAUUUUAAAAUAUGUAGCAAUGUGCCCCAGAAAGGCUGGGGCAUGAGUCCUGCUUGGGGUGGAGCAGGGAAGGCCUGCUCUGCCCCACUGGGGUGUCCUCAGAUGAAAGUGGGUGUGGGCUGACUUUCUCUGAGCUCCCUGUGGAGUCACACGGGGAACUGGGUUGAGUCACAGCACAAGGGCACUCACAUGCCCCACCCCGAGGAGGUCCCUGUUCUGACAGAAGCCCUGAGCCGUGACUGUGGACUGACACCCACUGCCUCUGUGACCUUGGGUGGGUUACAUAACCUCCCACAUGAGAAGGAGGCGGAGGCACCCGGGCUUGUGGCCUGAGCUAACCUGGGUAGUGGGAGCCCUAUCUGUGAAUUGCCAAGGGACUGCCAUGGGGACUGGUGAGAACACAGCUCUGCAAGGCCCUUUUGAUUUGUUUUAACCUUUAACUUUUCAAAAAUUUCAAAUUUAAAGGAUGCAUGACACAGUU